rnacentral:rRNA from 1 species
GCCAUAUCAUGUUGAAACACCGUUUCUCAUACAAUCACUAAAGUUAAGCAAUAUUGAAACUGGUCAGUACCUAGAUGGGUGACCGCUUGGGAAUACUAGGUGCUGUAA